AGCGAACGCUGGCGGCAGGCCUAACACAUGCAAGUCGAACGAACCCUUCGGGGUUAGUGGCGGACGGGUGAGUAACACGUGGGAACGUGCCUUUAGGUUCGGAAUAACUCAGGGAAACUUGUGCUAAUACCGAAUGUGCCCUUCGGGGGAAAGAUUUAUCGCCUUUAGAGCGGCCCGCGUCUGAUUAGCUAGUUGGUGAGGUAAUGGCUCACCAAGGCUACGAUCAGUAGCUGGUCUGAGAGGAUGACCAGCCACAUUGGGACUGAGACACGGCCCAAACUCCUACGGGAGGCAGCAGUGGGGAAUCUUGCGCAAUGGGCGAAAGCCUGACGCAGCCAUGGCGCGUGGAUGAUGAAGGUCUUAGGAUUGUAAAAUCCUUUCACCGGUGAAGAUAAUGACUGUAGCCGGAGAGGAAGCCCCGGCUAACUUCGUGCCAGCAGCCGCCGUAAUAC
rnacentral:rRNA from 1 species